CCACGGCUGCCGCAGGAGCCCGAGAUUCUGUCUGGGCCUCAGAACCUGACGCUCACAGUGCACCAAACGGUAGUGCUGGAAUGCAUCGCCACGGCCCACUCACGGCCACUGGUCUCCUGGAGCCACCUGGAUGGCCGCUCCGUCGGCGUAGAGGGCAUCCAAGUCCUGGGCACCGGGAACCUCAUGAUCUCCAAUGUGUCGGUCCAGCACUCGGGCAUCUACGUCUGUGCGGCCAAUCGGCUGGGAACCCGGGUCCGACGCACAGCACAGGGCGUCCUGCUCGUGCAGGCACACUGAUGCUGGUGGGGAUCUCAGCGGAGGACGAGGCCAUCUACCAAUGCGUGGCAGAGGACAGCGCGGGCUCCAACCAGGCCAGUGCCCGCCUGGCUGUGACAGGGGACCCAGAGCCACCCCCUGCCCCCAGGUGUCUGCAGGCAACGGCUCUCUCCACCUCUG